UACGUAGGGGGGCUAGCGUUGUCCGGAAUCAUUGGGCGUAAAGCGCGUGUAGGCGGCCCCGGUAAGUCCGCUGUGAAAGUCGGGGGGCUCAACCCUCGGAUGCCGGUGGAUACUGUCGGGCUUGAGUGCGGAAGAGGCGAGUGGAAUUCCUGGUGUAGCGGUGAAAUGCGCAGAUAUCAGGAGGAACACCAAUUGCGAAGGCAGCUCGCUGGGACGUUACUGACGCUGAGACGCGAAAGCGUGGGGAGCAAACAGG
rnacentral:rRNA from 1 species